UAAAAGGCCGGUGCCUAAGGUAAAAUCGAUGACUGGGAUUAAGUCGUAACAAGGUAGCCG
rnacentral:rRNA from 1 species